UUAGAGAUAGAGGAGUGCUCGAAAGAGAACCGUAACACAGGUGCUGCAUGGCUGUCGUCAGCUCGUGUCGUGAGAUGUUGGGUUAAGUCCCGCAACGAGCGCAACCCUUGUCAUUAGUUGCUACAUUUAGUUGGGCACUCUAAUGAGACUGCCGGUGACAAACCGGAGGAAGGUGGGGAUGACGUCAAGUCCUCAUGGCCCUUAUAGGUGGGGCUACACACGUCAUACAAUGGAUGGUACAAAGGGUCGCCAACCCGCGAGGGGGAGCCAAUCCCAUAAAGCCAUUCGUAGUCCGGAUCGCAGUCUGCAACUCGACUGCGUGAAGUCGGAAUCGCUAGUAAUCGUGGAUCAGAAUGUCACGGUGAAUACGUUCCCGGGCCUUGUACACAC
rnacentral:rRNA from 1 species